ACGUAGGAGGCGAGCGUUAUCCGGAUUUACUGGGCGUAAAGCGCGUGCAGGCGGUGCGAUAAGUCGUGCGUGAAAGCUCCCAGGCUUAACCGGGAGAGGACGUGCGAGACUGUCGGACUAGAGGCAGGUAGAGGCAAGUGGAAUUCCGGGUGUAGUGGUGAAAUGCGUAGAGAUCCGGAGGAACCCCAGUGGUGGAGACGGCGCCCUGGGUCACACCUGACACUGAGACGCGAAAGCGUGGGGAGCGAACGG
rnacentral:rRNA from 1 species